CUACGGGUCGCACCAGUUAGGCAUAAUCUACAAUGCACGCAAGUGUGAUAGUUUGAGCCAGAGUGCGUUUCUAUUGAAAUGCUUUUGCCAAGUGUAAAAAGCUUGGAGAAUAAGGACUGGGUAAGACGAGUGCCAGCCGCCGCGGUAAUACUCGCGGUCCAAGUCGCAGCCACAUUUAUUGGGUCUAAAACAUCCGUAGCUUGUUUUGUAAGUCUCUUGUGAAAUUUUGUAUCCUAAAUGCAGAGUGUGCAAGAGGUACUGCAAAACUAGAGACUGGAAGACGGAAAGAGUAUGUUCAAAGUAGCGGUAAAAUGUUUUAAUCUUGAACAGACUAACAAUAGCGAAGGCAUUUUCCGAGGACAGUUCUGACAGUAAGGGAUGAAGGCUAGGGGCGCAAAACGGAUUAGAUACCCCGGUAGUC
rnacentral:rRNA from 1 species